AGAGUUUGAUUAUGGCUCAGGAUUAACGCUGGCGGCGUGCCUAAUACAUGCAAGUCGAAUGGUAGUAGCAAUACAAACCAUGGCGAACGGGUGAGUAACACGUAGGCAACCUGACUUUAAGACGAGGAUAACCGUUGGAAACGACGGAUAAUACUGGAUAGGACAUCACAAAGGGCAUCCUUAGAUGUUUAAAGGUUAUUAUGCCACUUAGAGAGGGGCCUGCGGCGCAUUAGCUAGUUGGUGAGAUAACAGCCCACCAAGGCGAUGAUGCGUAGCCGGACUGAGAGGUUGAACGGCCACAAUGGAACUGAGAACGGUCCAUACUCCUACGGGAGGCAGCAGUAGGGAAUUUUCGGCAAUGGGCGCAAGCCUGAACCCGAGCAACGCCGCGUGAACGAAGAAGUUAUUCGUAAUGUAAAGUUCUUUUAUCUGGGAAGAAAAACAAAUUGACGGUACCAGAUGAGUAAGCUCCGGCUAACUACGUGCCAGCCGCAGC
rnacentral:rRNA from 1 species